ACUUCUACGAUUCGGUCGGAACCAUUUUUAACGGGCAUGGUCUGGAGUUUUAUACGGAGAAUAAAAUAUCGGUUACUGUCGCCCGCGAAAUUGUAUGGAAAUAAAAUCGAAGAUUUAUAGCUAGCGCAACCGUUUGCGCGCUAUGAAUGACAAAUGCAAACACCAGCCAACGCGCAUCAGGCACUUGGACCACAUUGAUGCGGUUUAUGAUCUGCGAAUUUAAAACAAACUUUCAAAGGAGGUUGCUUCUGGAAGAACUAUCAGAGUGCUCGAAAUAAUGGGCAGCAUUUCGAAUCCUAAGCAGUAUACAAAAUACAGCAAAAACACCACGGAAGUUAAGUCAAGAAAAUGCAUGCCAGUUCAAAGGGGUAGCGUUUUUCGGCUUGGGACCGGAAACCUGUUCUAUCUAAUAGUGAUCAAAAUUUUCACCAUUCUCAACCACAUUGUGAACAAGUGUUUAUAGCCAAUUGGAAACCACGUGCAUUUAAGUUGUAUGGGAUCAGUAGUGUAUGAUCGUGGUGAUGCAUUUUAAAUGUCGCCAACUGCCGUCUGUCGAAAGCUGGUCUGCCACACAUAAGUCGGCGUUUAGUUAAUAACGCCACAAACAACAACGAGAAGGGGAAAGGAGACGAAAAACGGUUGACGAUCAAUCAUUUUAUCGGACUGCAGUUUUGGAUGGUACAUUUGUUAUGCAAAUGGCAGAACGAAAUCAGUAGUGAUUGUAAGGAGGAAUCGAAUUUAGUAUGAGAAAUUGGCCUCUCAAAAAGGAUAGAAACUCACAAGGAACGGAAUUACUUAGUGCUAGUCCCCGGAAUUAUCAGAACCUCAAAAAUUCACAUUAAAAAAAGCAAAAUGCAUACCAAUGGAUACAUACGAUGGAGACAGGAAGCCUGCAUCCGAGACUUUGUAUUCGCUGGUUUGGCUUUGAUAUUUUUACUAUGCUGGUGGUUUUAAGGAGACAAAAAAAAACUAAAAUAUUGCAGUUUACUUACUUGUCCCGCUUGAAUUGUUGGUUUGCUUCGAAGAAGCAAACGGCAUCAUCGGUGUAGCACUGGUCGAUGGUGGGCACCCGGCGGAACUUUUGAUGAUACCAUGGAUAGGA